GGGCAUGUGGCGCAACUUGGAUAGCGCGCCUGGCUUCGGACCAGGUGGUUGCGGGUUCAAAUCCCGUCAUGCCCG
rnacentral:tRNA from 1 species